GACGAACGCUGGCGGCGUGCUUAACACAUGCAAGUCGAACGCUGAAGCUCAGCUUGCUGGGUGGAUGAGUGGCGAACGGGUGAGUAACACGUGAGUAACCUGCCCUCUUCUUUGGGAUAACGCCCGGAAACGGGUGCUAAUACUGGAUAUUCACUGAUUCUCGCAUGGGGGUUGGUGGAAAGGUUUUUUCUGGUGGGGGAUGGGCUCGCGGCCUAUCAGCUUGUUGGUGGGGUGAUGGCCUACCAAGGCUUUGACGGGUAGCCGGCCUGAGAGGGUGACCGGGCACAUUGGGACUGGGAUACGGCCCAGACUUCUACGGGAGGCAGCAGUGGGGAAUAUUGCACAAUGGGCGGAAGCCUGAUUCAGCGACGCCGCGUGAGGGAUGGAGGCCUUCGGGUUGUAAACCUCUUUCGCUCAUGGUCAAGCCGCAGCUUUGGGUUGUGGUGAGGGUAGUGGGUAAAGAAGCGCCGGCUAACUACGUG
rnacentral:rRNA from 1 species